UAGGGAAUCUUCGGCAAUGGACGAAAGUCUGACCGAGCAACGCCGCGUGAGUGAAGAAGGUUUUCGGAUCGUAAAACUCUGUUGUUAGAGAAGAACGUUGCAUAGAGUGGAAAAUUAUGCAAGUGACGGUAUCUAACCAGAAAGGGACGGCUAACUACGUGCCAGCAGCCGCGGUAAUACGUAGGUCCCGAGCGUUGUCCGGAUUUAUUGGGCGUAAAGCGAGCGCAGGUGGUUUAAUAAGUCUGAUGUAAAAAGGCAGUGGCUCAACCAUUGUGUGCAUUGGAAACUGUUAGACUUGAGUGCAGUAGAGGAGAGUGGAAUUCCAUGUGUAGCGGUGAAAUGCGUAGAUAUAUGGAGGAACACCGGUGGCGAAAGCGGCUCUCUGGACUGUCACUGACACUGAGGCUCGAAAGCAUGGGUAGCGAACAGGAUUAGAUACCCUGGUAGUCCAUGCCGUAAACGAUGAAUGCUAGGUGUUGGGGACUUUCCGGUGCCUCAGUGCCGCAGCAAAUCG
rnacentral:rRNA from 1 species